GUUAGGUUGGGGUUCCUUUUCCUGUUUUAUUUUGUUUUCUUUUCCUCUUCUGUCCUGGGUUUUUUCUGGGAAGCUGCGUUUCCUUUAACAGCCAUCAGAUGUCACCAGUGAGCGGAGCCCCUGGAGAAGUGUGGCGGCCAACCUGUAGACGCACCUGUGUCUAAUUGUCGAGAGCUGCGGAGGUGCUUCAUAAGGACAGCCUAGCUGACACUCCAGUGCCUGAGUGUUUGCCUUCACUGAUUUCCUUGUGACCGCCCUGUGACUCCUGGAUGUGGACAAGCGCUUCCUCCUGGAUUUCCUUGUGUUCUUCACGACGCCAUUGGUAUUACCAAUCGGUUGCCUUCCUCCGUGCACUUACCUCCCUGGUCCCUCUCCGUGAAUCCUCUGUGCCUCGCCACCGGCUGAGCCUGCCAGCCUUUCGUGUUCCGGGGGCUAACUGUCGAAACUCCGCUCGGAAGCCAGCUCACCCUGCUCUCCAGCUGCAAGGCUUACCUGCUCGCUCUCCGACGGUGACUCACUUCUCCAGCCGCCACCAUCGACAAUACUAACCUCCGCAUUCAAGUAAGCGUCCUACGAAAGAUUCUCAGAAUUAUUCCAUUUGACCCAUCCCGUGUCUCACUCCGCUUUUUCUCAUAUACAGUCUGACGACCAGUUUCCUCCAGUCCCAGGUUCCAGAACUAUUUCCCCUGACCCCUAUUCCUUUCACCAAAAUAAAUAUUAUUGUUGUUUCA